rnacentral:rRNA from 1 species
UAGUCCACGCCGUAAACUAUGGAUGCUAGCAGUAUGGGGUAUCGACCCCCUGUGUUGCGAAGCUAACGCGUUAAGCAUCCCGCCUGGGGAGUACGGUCGCAAGAUUAAAACUCAAAGGAAUUGACGGGGACCCGCACAAGCGGUGGAGCGUGUUGUUUAAUUGGAUGCUAAGCCAAGAACCUUACCAAGGUUUGACAUUCUACGAAGGACUACGAAAGUAGACUGUGCCUUUUGGAACGUAGUAACAGGUGCUGCAUGGCCGUCGUCAGCUCGUGUCGUGAGAUGUUGGGUUAAGUCCCGCAACGAGCGCAACCCCUAUCUUUAGUUACCAUCACUUCGGGUGGGGACUCUAAAGAUACUGCCCCGGUCAACGGGGAGGAAGGUGGGGAUGACGUCAAGUCCUCAUGGCCCUUAUGCCCAGGGCUACACACGUGCUACAAUGGACGGUACAGAGGGUCGCGACACUGCGAGGUGGAGCCAACCCCUUAAAGCCGUUCUUAGUUCGGAUUGGAGUCUGCAACUCGACUCC